rnacentral:rRNA from 1 species
UACAGAGGAGCCAAGCGUUGUCCGGAUUGACUGGGCGUAAAGCGCACGCAGGCGGUUGCGCGCGUGGGGUGUGAAAUCUGGCCGCUUAACGCCCAGGCGCCAUCCCAUACGGCGCGACUGGAGUGAUGCAGAGGUCGAUGGAAUUGCCGGUGUAGUGGUGAAAUGCGUAGAGAUCGGCAGGAACACCCAGGGGGAAACCAGUCGACUGGGCAUCUACUGACGCUGAGGUGCGAGAGCGUGGGGAGCGAACCGG